rnacentral:lncRNA from 1 species
GGCCUUCUUUGGCCCGGGGCCCACUGCUCCCCGAACCCUGGCUGCCCACCCACCAUUUCUUCUUUGUGUCUCUCACUCGGGUUUUUCCACAGUUGGGAGAUGACAGUGUAAGGGAGAGGUGGAUGGGAUUUCCUCGUCUCUCUGGUUCUUGAUGUACUUCUGCAGAGCGUUUCAGAGUCAGAAUGUGGCUGACCCCUAUCACUAGUUUCUAACUGGUGGGUGAGGCUGGAAGCUGGAGUGGGCAACUGUAUUUGUUGAGAUAUCUUUCCCUACAGCUAUCUGGAAGAACAAGGGAAGUUCUGAUGCAGUUAGAGCAGGUGGCUCAGGAGGGCAGGGAAAAACACAGAAUUCUCCUGGCUGAGGUCUUCAGGAGGAGCUGAGCAGCUGAGUGACCUUGUGGCUGCUGGAAGAGGAUGCCUGAAGGGCUCAAGGGAAGGAGCAAGAGGGGCCAGGUGGAUCUGGACAACCAGAGCAAUUGUUGGCCACGUGGAAGAAGACAGUGGAAAGGAAAAGAUUAAAGAGGUAAGAAGGAGAUGACUGAUGCCGCA